GCCCGGCGACAAAUUACACCGUCGGGCGGUCCAGGGCGAGGAGUAGGCACCUGGCAUUGGCGUUGGGCGGUUUUGCGAUUUGAGGGAAACCGUCGGGCGGUAGACGCCUACCGCCGGGCGGUAGUGCGAUUUGUAGGAAACCGCUGAGCGCCACACUUGUUCCGUCGAGCGGUUGUCUGCUGGGCUUAGGCAUGUUUUCUGUUGCGCUCCUCACCUAUAAAUAGCCCUAUUGCGAGUUGAGAUGCAUUCUUUUGAUAGAAGGGGGCGGCCAGACCUAAUUUCACUCUCUGGAGAGGAUCUCUUGGAUGCUUAGGCUCCUUUUCAUCUUUUCUAGGGUUUGCUUUUUCAUUCAUCAUCCAUUUUUCAUCUAGUUUCACCAUGACAAUGGUGAACUAAACCCUAUUGUUGUUAGGGGAAACAAUGUAACCUUUUGAUACUCUCU
rnacentral:lncRNA from 1 species